rnacentral:rRNA from 1 species
UGGGGAAUAUUGCGCAAUGGCCGAAAGGCUGACGCAGCGACGCCGCGUGGGGGAUGAAGCAUUUCGGUGUGUAAACCCCUGUUGCUCGGGACGAACAACUGGAUUUCUCCAGUCUGACGGUACCGGGUGAGGAAGCACCGGCUAACUCCGUGCCAGCAGCCGCGGUAAUACGGAGGGUGCGAGCGUUGUCCGGAAUCACUGGGCGUAAAGGGCGCGUAGGCGGUCUGCUAAGCGUGCGGUGAAAGCCUGGGGCUCAACCCCAGGUCUGCCGUGCGAACUGGUGGACUAGAGCACUGUAGAGGCGAGUGGAAUUCCGGGUGUAGCGGUGGAAUGCGUAGAGAUCCGGAAGAACACCGGUGGCGAAGGCGGCUCGCUGGGCAGUAGCUGACGCUGAUGCGCG